rnacentral:lncRNA from 1 species
GCUGGUGCACACUGAACCAUCCUGCCAGACAUCCUGCCCAGACCCUGUGCUUUGUUUUGUUGUUGUUGUUGCCUUUGUCCUAUUAACCUCCUUUGGCCACAUUCUUGUAUAACUUUAUUCUGAAGCCGUUAGAAUCCAGGGUAAGUUUUUUAGAAAAUGUUUCCAGAGAAAACUUGACUAGUUUAAGCUAACUUUCAUAAAAUCAGAAUGUUAUUUCUUAAAGCCUGGCUUUAUCAGUCAUAAAAAAUUGCUUCUUGGAUUGGUCACCUUUGAAAGCUAUCUUUGUACAUUUGUGGAAGUUCUGAAGAGAUUUCCCAAGUUAGAUUAAAAACCAGAGGAAGAGAACAUUGUGUGAUAAGAACUCAGCCCCAUGACUCUUUGUCUGUGGGGUUUUAUUUUUAAACUAACCAGAAAUACCAUAUUUAUUUAUUGCCAUAUACUUGAAUACCAAUUUCCAGCACCAUAGUUAAUUCCUUUUGAAAAUAUAUACACAAUUUAAGCAACUUGACAUUUUCACUCGCAGAUUUCUGACAUAGUAAGAAUUUGAAUGUUGCCGAAAACAUUCACUUUAAAGAUACUUUGGCUGCCAGGCAAAGGUGGUACAGACUUUUAAUCCCAGCGCUUGGGAGGCAGAGGCAGGCAGAUUUCUAUGAGUUCAAGGGCAGCCUGGUCUACAGAGUGAGUUUCAGGACAGCCAGGGCUACACAGAGAAACCCUGUCUUGAAAACACAACAACAACAAACAAAAACAAAAACAAAAAAACCAAAACUUAAAGAUCCUUGUGGCUGUCUGUACAAGAUGAAGCCAGCAUCAUUCUGUCCCUAAUGAGGAGGGGCUCAUGUGGUGGGCUCACCACACCCACCCUGAGGAGCUAUGACACUUAAUUGUUACUGGGUGGCAGGGAGCAUUUUCUUCCGUGAGGUUGCCACUGGUGUUUAUGCUUUAGGAAUAACACCCCACUAUCCUCACACAGACUACCAGAGUUAAAGUCAGUGGACAGUUUUCAGUCAGUACACCUUUACAGUGCAGAGGCCUGGGCUGGCCCUCAUGCGGAGAUGUCGGAUCACUGCUUACAAGGGAACUUUCUGCGUUCUGCACCUUCCAAAGGAGGAGGACACAAAGGAUCCAGUCAUUGAGGAGUGUGGCUUCAGAACUAAGGGAUUAGUAAGGCUUAGUUUCCAGAUCUCAGCCCAGCUAUGAAAUACUUGGAUU